GAUGAACGCUAGCGGCAGGCCUAAUACAUGCAAGUCGGACGGGAUUCAGGAGCUUGCUUCUGAUGAGAGUGGCGCACGGGUGCGUAACACGUAUGUAACCUACCUUUAUCAGGGGGAUAGCCUCUCGAAAGAGAGAUUAAGCCCGCAUAAAAUCACAGCACAGCAUUGUGUAAUGAUCAAAUAUUUAUAGGAUAAAGAUGGGCAUGCGGAACAUUAGCUAGAUGGCGGGGUAACGGCCCACCAUGGCGACGAUGUUUAGGGGAUCUGAGAGGAUGGCCCCUCACACUGGUACUGAGACACGGACCAGACACCUACGGGAGGCAGCAGUAAGGAAGAUAGGUCAAUGGGCGGAAGCCUGAACCAGCCAUGCCGCGUGCAGGAAGACGGCCCUACGGGUUGUAAACUGCUUUUAUACGGGAAUAAACCCAGAUACGUGUAUCUGGCUGAAUGUACUGUAAGAAGAAGGAUCGGCUAACUCCGUG
rnacentral:rRNA from 1 species